rnacentral:rRNA from 1 species
GACGAACGCUGGCGGCGUGCUUAACACAUGCAAGUCGAACGGAAAGGCCCUGCUUUUGUGGGGUGCUCGAGUGGCGAACGGGUGUGUAACACGUGAGUAACCUGCCCUUGACUUUGGGAUAACUUCAGGAAACUUGGGCUAAUACCGGAUAGGAGCUCCUGCUGCAUGGUGGGGGUUGGAAAGUUUCGGCGGUUGGGGAUUGACUCGCGGCUUAUCAGCUUGUUGGUGGGGUAGUGGCUUACCAAGGCUUUGACGGGUAGCCGGCCUGAGAGGGUGACCGGGGACAAUGGGACUGAGAGACGGACCAGAAUACUACGGGAGGCAGAAGUGGGGAAUAUUGCAAAAUGGGAGGAAGCCUGAUGAAGAAACGCCGCGGGCGGGAUGACGGCCUUCGGGUUGUAAAAAGAUUUAGAAUGUGACGAAGAGUGAGUGACGGUAAUGGGUAAAGAAGCACCGGCUAACUACGUG